AUGAAUGCCACAUCCGGGGUUAUCCUGGCGAUGGGGCUGUACUACUAUGGACUGCGCGGCACCAACGCCGCCUACUCCGUCGUCUUCCUCAACCUCAUCCCCAUCGUCACCUCCGUGGUCGCCAUCCUACUCCGGGCAGAGAAGCUGGUAUUCAGCAAGUGGCAUGGAAAGAUGAAGCUCUUGGGCAUCGUGGCCUGCGUCGGGGGAACAAUGGUGGUCGGCCUCUACAAGGGCAAGAUGCUGCACCAUCCUUGGCCGACCCACCUGCUGAGGUCCCGUACUCACACGACCGCAGCUCCGGCAGCUCACCACGACAUGGUCGUCGGCACGUUGUUCCUCUGCGGUAGCUGCCUCGGAUACGCCUUCUGGUUCAUCAUACAGGUUAAAAUUGCCAAGGUAUUCCCAUCUAGGUACUGGGUGGCGACGCUGACGUGUCUGUUGGGAAGCCUGCAAGCAUUCGUCAUCGGCAUCCUCAUCGACCCUCACACAUCCGCAUGGAGGCUCAAGUGGGACCUGCAGCUCUUAACCGUCGUCUAUUCAGGGGUGUUCAACACCGGUGUUGCAUUGGUCCUCAUGUCGUGGGUGGUGAAGCGCCGUGGGCCCAUCUACCCCUCCAUGUUUAAUUCCCUCACGAUGGUAGCGACAGUGAUCAUGGACUCGACACUGCUUGGCACCAGCAUCUUCUUAGGCAGCAUAAUAGGGACGGUGCUGGUCAUUGUGGGGCUAUACGCAUUUCUGUGGGGGAAAGGGAAGGAGCUGCGGGAAGCUAUGUCGCUAACGAAGAACGCCAGUGAGAAUGAACACCCUGGAGACGGUGAUGAGCAUGGUGAGCCAGUGUUGGAGGUGCGUCGUCGCGGCGAUGAAAUAGUAUAG
rnacentral:rRNA from 1 species